AUGUUGCUGUUGGAGACUUUUAUUCUGGCUACAGUUUGCUCCUAUGGCUCCUCACAAGUGCAUCUGACCCAGCCUCAACAGUCCAUCACCAGGGAAGAAAAUAAAACCAUACGAAUUGACUGCCAUGUUUCUCUUUCAGAGGAUUUUGGCAAAGCUACUAUACACUGGUAUAGACAGAGAUCCGAUGCAGCUCCAGAGCGGAUUCUGUUCAUCUCAAAGCAAUCUGUCUUGGACGGAGACUCGGAUAAAGGAAAGUUUAAUGCUGAAAAGAAGCUUGGCCAGUCUACCUGUACCCUGACCAUAAACAAAAUAACCUCCAAUGACAUUGCUACUUACUAUUGUGCCUAUUGGGAUCACACAGUGUUAGAAAACUGUAGACAGCCUGUAUAAAAACCCACUCUGCAUUCUGAGCCAUAGCCUUUUGCAUUUAUGAAGCAAUUGUCACCUC